UUUUUUUUAACACCAUUGCAUAACUAGUUUCAAGGGAAACUUUAGUUGAAAAAUGCCACUGGUUUUCUCCAAAGAAUUCAUUAUGUUUCCUGGUUCCAUGUACUCCUGGUCUUUCUUGGUUUAAAAAAAAAAAAAAAAAAAGUUUCCAUCAUCAUCAGUUCCCCAAACUUUAGAGGAUACGACUGUUUAAGCGAAGACGGGUUUCUUUUGAUGCAUUAGGACGGCCCCUUUCUCCGUGAAGUGUAGAAGCACGCACUUGGUUGUGGACGUGGGAGGCCUGAGGUGUUUUCCGUUUCAUUUAAAAUGUGCUUUAGUGAUGCAAUGAGCCACCAAGAUCUCGUCCUGUCCCCCCACCCCACAGUCAUUUGGGAAUUGCCAACAGACCUUUUCAACACCUGACAUUCCUAGGGGCUUAUGUAAGCAGGCAUCCACCCUUCCUUUCCUGGGAGCAUAUAUUAAAAAAAAAAAAAAAAAAAAAAACAGACCAGCAGUACCAAUCUCUGCUAACAUCUGAAAAAAAGAUUUUUUUUUUUUUUAAAGCAUUCAGUGUUUAGAGGACACCUGGAAUGCCCCUGUGGGGAGAGCUCUGGGCUCCAUGUGCCAAUAAUCUUUUCCCAGACUCCCUCGGAGUUCCCGCCCCAAAGACGUCUCCUGAAGCUCUCCUUGCCCUUGAUGACGGCAAGCUUCUCUCUGGCUUCAGGUGCUGUAUCCGUGGCUCCCGGCGUAUUCACAGGCGGGUUUUGCCGUCUCUGUACUUAGAUUUCUGGGUGCAGGUAGAUUUUGAACCCCUGUUUUGCUGUUAGCACCAGAAAUUUGGGCUUCUCCGUUAAAAUCUGCCAGCAGGUUAGGGGUCGUCAUUACUCCCGGAGAAAGAAAGCAUCGCUGUCCCCGCUUAGCCGGGAGGUCGUCGUUCUUCGGGUCUAUGGUCAGUGCUUCCUGGAUUCGGAAGACCCUGUGCAUUGGGUUUUCGAGAGAAACUGUGUCUUGGGAUCCAGAUCCCAAAUCGGCCCCCUUGGCUUCCAAAGGGGACGGGACCCUUCCAUCCGACCUUGAAGACGCCAUCUUGUCCUUGGCCCAUCGUAGCGUUUCCGCUGGGGGAGUGUAGAGGGGAUGUUAUGGAACCCGACCGCUCGUUCAUUAGAAGGUUGGGCUUACGGCUGUUAGAGUCUUGGUUUGUCCAUGUAUCCAGUGUGGCUACCGUUGGGGCUUCCCCUUCCAGCUGGCCACGGAGAACCGGAGCCUUCCCCGUACACCGCGAGACGCCUCUUAGGCUCAAAACUUCGAGAAAAAAAAUUUCUCUCGAAACUUCACUGAGAGAAAUCACGCUGUGGAAAGAUCCUGUAGAGAUACGCAGUCCUUUUCCUCUAGAUUGGCAUUUUUCUGAAGCGUUGCCUGGGAGAAUUUGCCGUAAGACGCCAAUAGGUGUCCCAAAGAUGGAGGAUUUUGUUAAGAAUCUUGACCGGCCCAGUCGGUGGACUGUUCGAGUCUUGAGCUCACAGUUUUAAGUUUAAGCCCCACGUUGGGUGUAGAGAGUACUUAAAAAUAAAAUCUGUAGAAUUACUGAGUUAA